GGAUACGAAGGAGUCAAGUCAUUAAGAUAAACUGCUUCAGAACAUGGUAAUUAAGCACCAAGUAGAAUGACCCCAGGACUCAUCUGUCCUUAAUAAAUCCAUUCUUGGAGAGAAAUUCCACCACCCUAAGACAAAUUCCUUCCUCCCCAGGAAUUCCAGGUGAAAAUUUCAGGAUUCUUUUUACCUUGGAAUUCUGAUUCUUCAACAUGUAGGCAGACCAGAUUCCUAAAAAAUUUACACAGAUGCUUAACAGGACAAAAGCCUGUUGAGCACCGAAGGGACUUCUGUUUCCUUGGGAUUUUUUAGCAGUUGCUCUCUGAAAUGCAUUAUUUGUUUUCUUGUUUCCUUUUCAGAGCAAGCCCUCUCUCCACAUCUCCCUUCUACUCCAGAUUUUCAGCUGCAGGAUUAUAAAGAACUCAGGAUUUCCCAGAGUCAAGAAGAGGCCCAGUGGGGACAAUUUUGGAGGUCAGCCCAGGCUGAAGUGGAUGGCCAAUUGACACCAAGCGGAACGAUGGACAACCAUGUUAAUAGAUCUCCUGAUUUUCCAAGAGAAGUUAGAAAUUUCUAUUUUUAUAUGAAAUCUCCUGUUUUUAAACGUUGGCAACUGAUUCAAAAUAAUUUUAAACACUUUGAAAGAUAAAUAAAAUGUGUCUGCAGGCAGCCCAGUUUGUGACCUCUUCUUCUAGAAGUCCCCUAGAGAAGACUUAGCAAUAAUUACUCUUCGGAGCCUCCCCAACUUUACCCCAUUCUCACCUCCACCCCUCCCUCAUUAACUCCCUCCCUAAUUAACUGUUCUUUGACCUCAGUUACUAAAGCAAUUUAUAUGUAUGUCUGUUAGAGUGCUCAAUACAUUCUGUGAAAGUUUUGUUGUCGUUGUUUGGUUUUUUCAUAUCUAUCUGCCUUGCUAAAGAUAAAGUUGACCUCUGAGCUUGGUGCUCAGUUAGACUUGGAGGAAAUCUGUUUGAGUUCCAGCUCUGACAUGAGACAACUUUGGUUGAAUCAUUUGACCUCUUUAGGUUCAGUUUUCACAUCUAAAAUGUGAAUUAAUAAUAAUAAUGGAAAAAACAGUGGCUCCAUUAUUAGCUAUAACAAUGGAGAUACAGUGUAUUAUCUGCAGUCAAACCUUCCAGAAGCUCUCAGGAAGAAACUCUGAGUGUAGAUGGAUUUUUUAAUUAAUAAUUAUGAUAAUAGGUGGAAUAUCGAGUGCUCGCAUGUGCCAGGCACUUCCCAGAUGCUUUAUCCGGUCCCUUAAUCGUCACAACAACUCUAUAAGGUAAACGCUAUCAUUGUUUGUAUUUUACUGGUGAACAAAAUAAGGCUUAGGGUGGUUGAAUAGAACUUCUACUAAGUGGCAGAACUGGAACCAGAACCGAGAUGUCGCACUUCAAGGCCCCGGAUCUUGAACACACCCCUGAUUCACUACAGCAUAAAGUCUCAGAACAGAGUCUUUCCUCAAUCUGUUUGGUCCCUAAGGCAAUAAGAUGGGCGGACACAUAAACUCUUGUGUCUUUCAUAUUUUGUG
rnacentral:lncRNA from 1 species